rnacentral:lncRNA from 1 species
CUUCCCCCUGUCAGCGGGUCUCCACUGAAUCAUCGGCAGGAGUCCCGGAUGAUCCCCCAGUCGCGCAGCCCCUCCCCCGCUCCUUCCCAACCCGCGCUGCCGCAGCCAUCGCAGACUCUAGGGGAGGGAGCGAUGUUCUCUCCUACCAUUCCAGCACCUCCGAAGGUGUAAGGAGCUCAUGCCCCACCUUCCGCCUCCCCACACGCAGUCCAUAGACCUGCCAGCAGGGAGUUUUUUCUGAGCUUUGCUUUGCAGAUUGUAUCAAUGUCAAUGCCUCUGCUGACGACUACCAAUACAGAAUGGGAAUCCAUGUCGACAUUCUUCCUUCAAGAGUUUUGGAACUCACCCCUAACUUUUCAUGGAAAUGGCCUGCUACUUGUUCUGUGACCUACUGAUGAUAUAUUUUACUUUGAAGCACAGCCAGGACCAGAGAGAGAGAGAGAGAGAAGAAAGAGAGAGAGAAAGGUGAGGAUAUAUUUACAAAGAAGAAAAAUAGCAAAACCUGAUUGCUAAAGAUUUGAAAUCAAAUGAUGAAUUUGUUUUUAAAGUACUUCAUAUAAUUGAAGCCAGAUCUCCACUUAGAAUUCUGUUAGGAAAUGUGGUUAACAAGAUGCGAAUGUACAUGUCUGUAAUAUCAAGUUGUUCUCUCAGAGGCUGA